rnacentral:rRNA from 1 species
AUUGAACGCUGGCGGCAUGCCUUACACAUGCAAGUCGAACGGCAGCACGGGGGCAACCCUGGUGGCGAGUGGCGAACGGGUGAGUAAUACAUCGGAAUGUACCCAGUAGUGGGGGAUAACUAGUCGAAAGAUUAGCUAAUACCGCAUACGCACUAUGGUGGAAAGCGGGGGAUCGCAAGACCUCGCGCUAUUGGAGCAGCCGAUGUCCGAUUAGGUAGUUGGUGGGGUAAAAGCCUACCAAGCCUGCGAUCGGUAACUGGUCUGAGAGGACGACCAGUCACACUGGGACUGAGACACGGCCCAGACUCCUACGGGAGGCAGCAGUGGGGAAUUUUGGACAAUGGGGGAAACCCUGAUCCAGCAAUGCCGCGUGUGUGACGAAGGCC